rnacentral:lncRNA from 1 species
UAUAAUUUACGUUCUUAGAAGAAAAAAGAAUGCAAUUCAACUCCAACCAAACCCUAAACCAAUGAUUUCUCUUUGUCAAUUUCCUGCUAUUCUCAUGAUUUUGGUCGAUAAUUGGCGACACUUUUUAACGUUUUCCAUCAGCCGUCAUCAAACCAUACCUCUUUCUCCAUUCAAUUUGAGGUGAGGACCAAAGUUUUGUUAGUUUUUCUGGUAAAUUCUUUUACUUUCUUGUGUAAUUUGAUUUUUAUGAAGACAAUCAUUAGAAAUGAUGUUGUGUUAGGGCAUUUAUUGAAAUUAUGAGAUACUUGCCUCAGCAAGUAUUUCAAGCAUUUAAGAAAGUUUGGCAGCAGCACCAAUGACAGAACUAGCAAAGCGGAUAUGAAGAAGGGUAGUGAUUGGUGGCGAAAUACGGAAUAAGGGUAGUGAACAGUGGUGGAAUACUUCAACAAAUGAUUCAGGUUCAUGAGAAGAUUGAACUGACAUGAGAAUGAGAAAAGGCACCACGUCUGGACGGGCGGGCAGGAUGGUCUUACCAGUAGUAGAGGGCCUACUUCACUUUCUAACAGGGCAUUCGAUUCAGCCUAGUCUUCCACCGCUUAGCCAGUCUGCUCAUCAUUUUUUCCUUUAUAAGGUGAGCUUCAAUUCCCCCAAUGGAUUUGGAAGCAAUGUCCGAUGCAUUGAGGUCUAAAGUAGGGAAUUUGCUCACUGAUGCAGAUUCAUUGAGGAAGAUAAUAGUUCAGGAGGUGGUGGAAAUACAGAAUCUUGUACAAAAUGUGAGGUUCUCAACUGUUGCUAAUCAACUGCACCUUAGGAUUCAAGGACUAGGACAGCAGAGUGAGACGGAGCGACUUUAGCGAAGAGAGAUAGAUGGGUGGUAGACAACUUCUAUCAGGCUAGUUACAUACAAAUGAAGAAUAGCUG